rnacentral:lncRNA from 1 species
UCGGAAUUCCUAUUCCAUUACUUCUCCAAAGUAAAAUUAACUGGGUCAAAAAUGUGUUAACUGUUUUUGUUGAUUUCUUGUAAAUGUUGCCAAAAUGCUUUCCAAAAGAGUUAUGGCAAUGUACUCAUUCCAUUAGAUACAUCUGACUGCAGUUUCCAUUUUAUUUUAUCAACACAAGAUUCUGUCACUUAAAACCACUGAUUACUUUAAUAUGUUAAAUGAUACUUUGUUACUGUUUUAAUUUACAUUUAUUAGGUUAUAAUUUCCCCACUUGUUUAUUUACUCUCUCCUCUUAAAAGAAAAACCUGCUCACAUCCUUUGUUCAGAAUGGAAUCGGUCUCAGCCAUCUUCUAAACCAUUUUAAUUUCCGGGGAGGCUGGAGUAUGAAUGCCUGAUUUAAUCCUGGCCCCUCAUUUGCAGCUUGAAACUCUGGGCAACUUGUCGAAUCUUUCUAUGUCUCAGUUUCCUCCUCAACACAAAUAGCACUUUCUUUUUUUAACUAGAGUGCCUUCACUAAGCGUCGCAAGGACU